GCAGUAUGGAGGUGGAGUCACCAUCUGUUCUCAAGGAUGGGAAACAGACUUUAACUGAACAUUAGGAAUGAGCUGUAUUCACCUGGCAUUGGUAUCAGGCGCUGGAUGGAUUACACCAGAGAAUACAUUACAUUAGGAAACACAGUGCCUGGCUCAUGGUGGACCAGAGACAGAUGGAUGGACUGUUUUUUGAUGUGAAGACUGAAUUAGCCCUGGCAGUGCUGUUUCCCAGGGCCCUAUCUCUGGGAGUCCUCCUGCUGGAAGGGAAGUGCUCUCAUAGCUGAUAGUUAAGACAUGUACAGUCAUGCAUUGCUUAACAAUGGGGAUACAUUCUAAGAAAUGUGUCCUUAACACAAUUUUAUCAUUGUGUGAACAUCAUAGAGUGCACUUAACACAAACCUAGAUGGAAUAGCCUACCAC
ensembl:lncRNA novel transcript